rnacentral:rRNA from 1 species
AGUGAACGCUGGCGGUAGGCCUUACACAUGCAAGUCGAACGGCAGCACGGGAUGCGCUUUCUCGUACGGGUGCCGAGUGGCGGACGGGGGAGGGAAACAUCGGCAUCUACUUUUUAUAGGGCGGCGAAAGCGGGAUUAAUCCCGCAUACCACCUGAGGGUGACAGGGGAGGACAGAAAGUCCUCGCGCUUUUCGAGCGACCGAGGGGGGAUUAGCUAGUUGGUGGGGUAAAGGCUCACCAAGGCGAAGAUCCGUAGCUGGUCUGAGAGGAGGAACGGCCACACUGGAACUGAGACACGGGCCAGACUCCUACGGGAGGCAGCAGUGGGGAAUGUUGGACAAUGGGCGCAAGCCUGAUCCAGCCAUGCCGCGUGGGGGAAGAAGGCCUUCGGGUUGUAAAGCCCUUUUGUUGGGAAAGAAAAGCAGCAGGUUAAUACCCCGCUGUUAUGACGGUACCCAAAGAAUAAGCACCGGCUAACUUCGUG